rnacentral:rRNA from 1 species
UACGGAGGGUGCAAGCGUUAUCCGGAUUUACUGGGUUUAAAGGGUGCGUAGGUGGGCAGGUAAGUCAGUGGUGAAAAUCUCCGGGCUUAACUCGGAAACUGCCCAUUGAUACUAUUUGUCUUGAAUAUCCUGGAGGUAAGCGGAAUAUGUCAUGUAGCGGUGAAAUGCUUAGAUAUGACAUAGAACACCCCAUUGCGAAGGCAGCUUACUACGGGAUUAUUGACACUGAGGCACGAAAGCGUGGGGAUCAAAACAGG